GAGAGGGCGCUGUUCCUUUUACCGAUAGAUGGCGCUAUUUAUUGGGACGAAAUUUAAAACGGUAGAUGUGAACGUGUGUCCAAAACUUUCUCUUUGAAAAGGUUUAUGAAGAGCUGAGUCGGGAAUCAUUUGAUGUUUGGGCAGGCAGUUAUACCCCUGAGAGAGAACACAGGCAAGAGCAGACAAACCCAACUUCCAAAGGAAAGUGGAAGUGGAGCACUCGGGGUAUCAGAGCAGACCCUUGGAACGACUGACAAGCAGAAAAUCUGGAAACAGAAAGCUGAAGGAUGAGCCAUUGCCAUUUUGCUGCAUUGCCGCAGAAACUUGGACAAGACGAUCCGGGUGCUGAUGUGUGACAUUAACUGCCGAGCUGUGGGGUUUGUAGGCUCCUAGCAGCUGCUGUGGCAUCCACUAGACUCGUCGUCGUCAGGCAAUCCUCGAUUCGAGGAGUUGUCACUUUUGCUGCUGUCUCCCUCGCUGUUAAUGACUGGUCUCGUGGCUAUAUAGUCUCAGCCGUGACUGUUUUGGUUGUCCACAGAUGGAGCAGGAGAACUGCAGGGUUGAGUAAGGCUGAGACACUAGACUGAUUCCUGCAGAAAUACAGCAGCAGGUUGGUGGAGAGAGGCAGGGCCCAGAUCAUAGAGAAGGUCACCCACCCAGCUAUCAAAGGCGCUGAACCAGUCAGGAUAUAAGGAGGACGUCUGGAAUUGGAGAUCCUGGACUGGAUUGGAUUGAUCCUACUCAUGGCCUGGAUUGACUGCCUUAAGUAUGAUAAUGUGUGCAAUUCAGGCUCUGUAGUUACUCCUUACUACUUGUAGUGCAAUUGGUAUGGUUUGGGCCAUUUUAAUACUGAACCUUGUUUUCUAUGUACAUGUAAUGUAAUUUUAAGUUUGGCCUAAAAAAAACACCAAAACCCCCCCCCCCAAACAAUUCCCACAUUUCCUAUUACCAAAUCCAACCUAGAAAAUCAUACAAAACCGAAAUUUUUGUGUGCAAAAAAUUUAAACAAAUGAAAAACUGGUGCUGCUCCACCCUAGUUUUUGUGGACAGUGUUUGAAAUUGUUAUUUCAUAUUUUUAAGUUGGUCGGCAGUGCGGUCUUGCUGCAUGAUGCACUGUGCAUGUGCAGCAAAGCUUGCAAACACUGCAGCAGAUGCAGAUUGAACAGUUGGUUCACACAUUAACUGUUAUAACGCGAAAUGAAAUUAAAAAAAAUAAUAAUAAAAAUGAAUCUUCCAUCAUCCCACCCUAUUUUUCUGGCUUUACAAAUUUUGUGCCAAAAAGAAAAAGAUUGUACCCACCUCUAUUUUUUUUCAGUGUAAUAGGAAACAAUAUUUAUUCGUCUUGGCAUAAUAAAUUUUACUAUUCCUUUACUUAUAAGCAGUAAACAGUGAAUGAAUUGAAUAAUGCAAAUUUGGAUUGGGAUGCAUGAAACCCUUCGAUUGAACACAUCUUCAAUAUCUCUUACUUGGAUAUAGAGUCUGAGAAGAUGCAAAGCAGUGUUGUCUUCAUGACCUUUGACAUCACCGUACCCUCUCCUGCCCAUCCUUGGGUCAAUUUUGGACCACUUUUAUGUCAAGUGACUUGCAUACCAAUACCCUCGUAUUCCGAUAUUUUCUGCAAAUCCAGUUUUUUUAGUUGACAGAAAUGUCUUGAGUUUAAUUUGAGUCACUUUUAUGCCUUAAACAAAAUACAUGUAACUAGCUUUAUCAGAUUUCUUUCUUACUUUUCGAACACAACACUUCAAACAUGUCAGUUAAACAAUAUUUGAUCUAUUAUACUAACCCCUCAAAUAGUUCAUUUCUAAAAAUUAUAGCAAAAGCCAAUGAUGUACAUUCCCUUUAAACCAACUGAUUCCAUGUAUUCAACAGUUUGGCUCUAUAUCAGCUUUUAUAUUGGCAUAAAGCAUUAAACAUUUUGAGUUUUCCAUUACAAAAAAUGAAUGUUUUUAACUUUUUAUCAAAGCAUCACCCCAAUUGUACAAUCAGUGAUAACUUAUUUUAAUAUAACAUUCUCCAGUCAAAAGAAUUAAAAUGACAAAUGCUUUGGA